UGCUAGAAAGGAAAGGAAUAAGGAGGAGACAAAAUGACGCCGAGGCCCUGAACUGUUCAUGGCAUCCGCGGCUCAGCCAAGCUGUUGUUUUAAAAGAGCAAUAAAAAUGAAUUAUGACUAAACGCCUUCUAACUUAAUGCUUUCGGACGGGGAUCCCCGGCAAAUAACGUAAGAGGAUUUUUAUUUGUGCAUGUGUUCCUGCAAUUGAUCUCUUUGAUGACAUUCUCAUUCAUAGAAAGCGUUUGAUUUAUGAGCGUAGGACGAAUCGCAUCCUGGAGCUGCGCAGCCCUGGCCGCGGCCGGGACGCCCUGCUCCGCGCUGAGCUUGGGGCCAGAAACCAGCCAUAGUCCCCACACUCCGCCGCCGCAGCUGGGAUUUAGCGGAGGAAGGGGCGAGGGAAGGUAGGGAGCAAACCUAUGAAGAAACAUCGCGUUGUCAUUGGAACUUCCAAGCCUUUGCUGUUAAGAGCCAGGUUCUUAAAUCAACCCGCCCCACACACAUGUUGCUUACAUGCUGCGUUUUCUCACGGUCUGUUUUGCCUGAACCCAUCAACAGCUGGGAGAUUAAUCAACCACACUGAAAAUGUGGAGGGAUUUAUGGGGGAGGGGGUUGAAAUGUGGAUGUUUGAAACAAAAGUGUAUAAACAAAUGAAUUGUUGAUAACUUAGUUAUUGACCUGGAGACUGGUAGCUUAUUAAAGAAACUCCGUGUUACUCAUUCCUGGAGUUGGGGGUUUCUGUAGGCACUUUAUUUCUCCACUUUCAAGAGCUUGGGCUUGGCCCAAAUCUUAGACUGUCCAAUUCUGUCUCUAUUACCAAUUUAAAUCUAUGGCUUGAACCUGUGCACUGAAAAUCAAAUCCUUUAAAAAGAAAGAGGAGAAGAAGAAGCAA
rnacentral:antisense_RNA from 1 species